rnacentral:rRNA from 1 species
GUCCAGACUCCUACGGGAGGCAGCAGUGGGGAAUAUUGCACGAUGGGGGAAACCCUGAUGCAGCGACGCCGCGUGAGUGAAGAAGUAUUUCGGUAUGUAAAGCUCUAUCAGCAGGGAAGAAAAUGACGGUACCUGACUAAGAAGCCCCGGCUAACUACGUGCCAGCAGCCGCGGUAAUACGUAGGGGGCAAGCGUUAUCCGGAUUUACUGGGUGUAAAGGGAGCGUAGACGGCAUGGCAAGUCAGAUGUGAAAGCCCGGGGCUCAACCCCGGGACUGCAUUUGAAACUGUCAGGCUGGAGUGCAGGAGAGGUAAGUGGAAUUCCUAGUGUAGCGGUGAAAUGCGUAGAUAUUAGGAGGAACACCAGUGGCGAAGGCGGCUUACUGGACUGUAACUGACGUUGAGGCUCGAAAGCGUGGGGAGCAAACAGGAUUAGAUACCCGGGUA